rnacentral:rRNA from 1 species
UGGGGAAUUUUGCACAAUGGGGGAAACCCUGAUGCAGCGACGCAGCGUGAUUUAGAAGGCCUUCGGGUUGUAAAAAUCUUUUCUAUGGGAAGAAAAUGACAGUACCAUAGGAAUAAGGACCGGCUAAUUACGUGCCAGCAGCCGCGGUAAUACGUAAGGUCCGAGCGUUGUCCGGAAUCAUUGGGCGUAAAGGGUACGUAGGCGGGUAAGCAAGUUAGAAGUGAAAUCCUAUAGCUCAACUAUAGUAAGCUUUUAAAACUGCUCAUCUUGAGGUAUGGAAGGGAAAGUGGAAUUCCUAGUGUAGCGGUGAAAUGCGCAGAUAUUAGGAGGAAUACCGGUGGCGAAGGCGACUUUCUGGCCAUAACCUGACGCUGAGGUACGAAAGCGUGGGUAGCAAACAGG